rnacentral:lncRNA from 1 species
GAAUACAAUUCACCAUUGACAAGCAAUAGCUCCCCAACUCUGAAGCGGGCGGACUCAGAGGAAUGAACGGUUUCACCAUUUGUUAUCGCAGAUGUAAAAUCUUUGAUAGAAAUAGCAUCAAGCGAUUUGGUUCUCUCGGCAGAAGUAAGUGCCCCUUCCACGUUUUCAACGAUGGCCUCAGGGCCAGACAUGCAUAAUGCCCAAAGAAGUCAAUUUCUAAUUAAUAUAUUAAUGUCCAAUCCGCACCAUCCACUAUAAGACAGACAGUAUAUUGUACAAAGAAUGUUUAUCGCAAGAAGAAAAUUCCUCGCUCCAACUUUCGUUCUUUGAUCUAUUAACAGCAGAAAUAAGAGACUUGUGAGCGUGAUUACAUUAGAAAGUCUAUCAACAGAAACAGAGCACAAAAAAACCAUUUUAUAUAUUCACUAGUAUUUAAAACUGAUGUAAAAGCAAAAUGGAAUAAAAACAAUCAGUGUAGAGCUUUUUGUAACCUACUAAAAAAUCUGGAUCUGCUUCCACCUUCAAGCUAGUAGUUCAAUUUAAAAACACAUACAAUCAACCUAGUUCAAACGGAAACCAAUAAGACCUUACAGAUUGUCCGUUUGGUUGAAUAUGACUACAAUCCGUUUCCUGAGUCUGUGUUCGAAACUAAUAGGGAACAACGCAACUGUGUAAAUUAGAUGAUUAGUUCUUAGAAAACAAACAUCGCAAAGAAAUUAAUAAACUCCAAAGUUCACCAUUACGUAGUUGACUUUACUGAGUGAGUUUACAAACAUCGUGUAUGGUAAAAAGCAGAAAAAACAGGAAAAUACUUGAAAAGAAACUAAAACAUGUGAAGUAAGAAUUUCCAAAAGAAAAGGAAAAAAAAAAGGAGAAGAAGCUAAAACUGAUACUGAGAAUGAAAGGAAGCAGAAAUGAAAGAGAGAUUGUACCUCCGGAAAAGAGAGUGAAAGAAAGGGGGAGAGAGGAGGAUCUGAGGAGAGGAAAUUGGUGGAGGAGAUUGAGAAGUGUUGUGAGAAUCGGUUUCGGAUCGAUCUUUUUGAGUUGGGGAUAGUGAGAAUUGGAUUGUGGAUCAAAAUCCAGCGACCUUAUAUUACUUUUCGAUCAAACCC